GACGUAGGGCGCGAGCGUUGUCCGGAUUUACUGGGCGUAAAGCGCACGUAGGCGGCUUUGUAAGUUAGAGGUGAAAGCCCGGGGCUCAACUCCGGAAUUGCCUUUAAGACUGCAUCGCUAGAAUUGUGGAGAGGUAAGUGGAAUUCCGAGUGUAGAGGUGAAAUUCGUAGAUAUUCGGAAGAACACCAGUGGCGAAGGCGACUUACUGGACACAUAUUGACGCUGAGGUGCGAAAGCGUGGGGAGCAAACAGG
rnacentral:rRNA from 1 species